CACGAAGGGUGCAAGCGUUGCUCGGAAUCACUGGGCGUAAAGCGCACGUAGGCGGAUUGCUAAGUCAGGGGUGAAAUCCUGGAGCUCAACUCCAGAACUGCCCUUGAUACUGGCGAUCUCGAGUUCGGGAGAGGUGAGUGGAACUGCGAGUGUAGAGGUGAAAUUCGUAGAUAUUCGCAAGAACACCAGUGGCGAAGGCGGCUCACUGGCCCGAUACUGACGCUGAGGUGCGAAAGCGUGGGGAGCAAACAGG
rnacentral:rRNA from 1 species